rnacentral:tRNA from 1 species
GCCUGGGUGGCUGAGUGGUGAAGCACCUGCCUUCAGCCCAGGGCAUGAUCCUGGAGUCCUGGGAUCGAGUCCCACAUCAGGCC